UUAACCUUGACUAUAAAUAGGCCAUCAAUGACCUUUGCAGAGAAUGUUCAGAGACCUCAACUUUGUUUAGAGAUCUUGUGUGGGUGGAACUUCCUGUUUGCACACAGAGCAGCAUAAAGCCCAGUUGCUUUGGGAAGUGUUUGGGACCAGAUGGAUUGUAGGGAGUAGGGUACAAUACAGUCUGGUCUCCUCCAGCUCCUUCUUUCUGCAACAUGGGGAAGAACAAACUCCUUCAUCCAAGUCUGGUUCUUCUCCUCUUGGUCCUCCUGCCCACAGAUGCCUCAGUCUCUGGAAAACCGCAGUAUAUGGUUCUGGUCCCCUCCCUGCUCCACGCUGAGACCACUGAGAAGGGCUGUGUCCUUCUGAGCUACCUGAAUGAGACAGUGACUGUAAGUGCUUCCUUGGAGUCUGUCAGGGGAAACAGGAGCCUCUUCACUGACCUGGAGGCGGAGAAUGACGUACUCCACUGUGUCGCCUUCGCUAAGUGAUUCCUGUCCAUGCCAACUUUCCCUGCUGAGAACAAGGGAGUGAAG
rnacentral:sRNA from 1 species